AUGUCCGCGCUGCGGGAGUCGGCGUCGUUCGGAUUCGGUCGAUUCCUAUCCGAGUCACUCGAAUGGGAUACGAUGGGGCAUGUCUUGCCAGCACCGACGGCUACCAUAUUGCAUGACCAAUCGCUGCAGCAGCCGGGCUCAAUCAAGAUGUACAGGACAAUUUCUCGGUGCCGACCACAACGGUCGGAGCUCACUCUGCCUCCUCCAAUUGUAGUGAUGCAUGCAUUGCCAAUUCUGGAGCAGGCGUUAGUUGUAGUCCGUGCUUGCCUGCUGCCCGGUCCUCAGCAAAUAUUGAAGGAGCUGCACUGCAUUUGGUCAAGAAGCUUCAAAAUAGAUCAGGGGGAUAAGAAGGUGCACCAGUCUCGAAGAUCGAACCAUUGCUUAUCUAGGUGA
rnacentral:rRNA from 1 species